CUCUUAGAGCCUUUGUGAUGAACUGAGUACCACCUUCGAAGUGGAACAGAGAGAUAUCAUGAGGCUUCUUGGGGCAGUGAAAAACCAGAGGGAAGUGUGCAAACUAUAUGAAGAUGUCAGUAAACUCUGCGAGAGUAGACAGAGAUGUGGUACAUCAGAUUAAAUGCAGGCAAAGGCUUUUUUCAACAGCAGCGGAGCCCAAUCAAGAGAAGAUGAAAACUUCAGUGUUUCAAGAUACCUAACUCUUCUGCUGAUGAAGGUGAACAUGGCCCAGACACAGUUGGAAUGAGAAUAAAGGCUG